AGAAUGUCUCAGUCAUUUGGCUAAGAUCCAGUGUGUACCAGUUAUCAGUUUAAUAUCUGAUAUGCCCUCUUAGGAAAAUGUAUUAAAUGAAUAUCUGAAAUGGAGAGAUGGGACAAGGACUUGUUUUGUCCACUCCAGCAUCAACACCCAGGGACCUGGUAUUAUAGUACCUUCAGGAAUGGUGCACCCCUU
ensembl:snRNA U2 U2 spliceosomal RNA